rnacentral:rRNA from 1 species
UGGGGAAUAUUGGACAAUGGGCGCAAGCCUGAUCCAGCCAUGCCGCGUGAGUGAUGAAGGCCUUCGGGUUGUAAAGCACUUUUGUCCGGAAAGAAAUCCUUGGCUCUAAUACAGUCGGGGGAUGACGGUACCGGAAGAAUAAGCACCGGCUAACUACGUGCCAGCAGCCGCGGUAAUACGUAGGGUGCAAGCGUUAAUCGGAAUUACUGGGCGUAAAGCGUGCGCAGGCGGUUUGCUAAGACCGAUGUGAAAUCCCCGGGCUCAACCUGGGAACUGCAUUGGUGACUGGCAGGCUAGAGUAUGGCAGAGGGGGGUAGAAUUCCACGUGUAGCAGUGAAAUGCGUAGAGAUGUGGAGGAAUACCGAUGGCGAAAGCAGCCCCCUGGGCCAAUACUGACGCUCAUGCACGAAAGCGUGGGGAGCAAAACAGGAUUAGAUACCCUGGUAGUCCACGCCCUAAACGAUGUCAACUAGUUGUUGGGGGAUUCAUUUCCCUUAGUAACGUAGCUAACGCGUGAAGUUGACCGCCUGGGGAGUACGGUCGCAAGAUUAAAACUCAAAGGAUUGACGGGGCUCAUAGCUGUUUCCU